UCACACUACAACCAUCAGGUACUUGAACUCUAAAUAUAUCCAUAAACAUAAACCUAACACUAACCCAAAAACUAACCAUGAUACCCACACUGCAAUAUUCAGGUAUGUGAAUGCCAACACUAUAUUAAACUCUUACAAUAACACAAACCCUAAGCCCAACAAUAAAACCCAAACUCCAAAGCUGAGGCACAUGAAUUUGAAUCCUAAACCUCAUCCUAAAACUAACCCUUACCCUAACUCUAACCCUCAUAGCCACAAUCCAAUAUCAAGGUACUUGGAUUUCAACACUAUCUCUAACCAUAAUCCUAAAACUAACAUUAACACUAAAUUUCAAAACCACAUUGCAAAAGACAGAUUCUUACAUUUUUUUUGUACCAGGAUCUAACGCAAGACCUUGUGCUUGCGAGGAUUAAAUUCUGACACUAUUCCUACACCUAACCCUAACCUUAACCCUAACACUAACGAAUAUAGCCACACUGAAAUGCUUACUUAUAGAAAUCCAACAAGACACCAAUCACUAACACUAACCCUACCUCUGACCAUCACGCUCACACUCAAAUAAUCAGGUACUUUAAUUCCAACACUAUCCUUAACACUAACACUGACCCUAACACUAACAGUAAUAGCCAUACCCAAAUACUCAAGUACCUGAAUUCCAACACUAUCUGUAAGCCAUAUCCUAACACAAACCUAAAAACAUUCACACCCACACUCCAAACCUCAGGUAUAUGAAUUUGAACACUGAAUGUAACCCUAAACCUAACCCUAUCCAUAACCAACAUAUCCACAAUCCAAUACACAGGUAGUUGAAUUUGUACACUAGCCCUUACAUCAAGCCUAAAAUCAAUGCUAAUAUUGUCAAACUCACCCCAAUAACAGGUACUUAAAUUCCAAGAUUAUCAGGUACUUGAAUUCCAAUCAUAUCCUGAACCCCAAACCUAACCUUAACCCUAAUUCUAACACUACACAUCAUAGCCACAUUGCAAUGCUCAGGUACUUGAAAUCCAACAGUGUACCUCACCCUAAAACUAAAUCUACCCCUAAGCAUCAUACUCACAUACAGGCUUGAAUUCCAAGACUAUCA
rnacentral:lncRNA from 1 species